AUACACUCAGGCAGGAAACAGGAAAUGUAAAUGUUCUCGUGAACCAGGCAGAAAGUAAAAGAGCACAUCAAGUCUGAUCACUGAAAAGGUAACAUGCAAAGCCAAAACUUCAUCACGGUGCUUUCUGUCCUCUUCCUCACUGAAGGAUCUGCCAGCAAUAGCUUUGAGAAUGAAACUGCUGGUUCGGGAUAUGGAUCACCAAUGUUACCCACCAUUACAGUAACACCUCCUCCUGCUAUGCCUACUAGAUCUUCUACGACUGUGGAUGACCAUGAACAUGUUGCUACAAGAGCUACUGAGAGCAGCUUUGAAACAAAAAGUGCAAGUACUGAAUUGACUACUGUGAGCAAUAAUGACAGCCUAGAAAGAGCAGAACAGUCUACCUUGAUAUAUGUUGUCCCCGUCGUGCUGCUGGUCCUGCUGAUUUUGCUGAUCACGUUUUUUGUAAUACAUCAUAAAAGGAAAAAGUCUAAACAAGAUGAGCUGGGAAGUGAAAAUGUAAAAAGUCCUAUUUUUGAAGAAGACACACCCUCUGUUAUGGAGAUAGAAAUGGAAGAGCUUGAUAAAUGGAUGAACAGCAUGAACAAAAAUGGUACAUGGUAACCCCUCUACUCCAUCAUCCCUCUCUUUCUAGCUGAGCUGAAUGUGAAUGUCUGCCUACUGUAAAAGAAGAAGAAAAAGAAUCAAUUGCCAGCCCAAGUGAUGGUGAAUCAUGAAGUCAAAACAGCAAAGAACUGGUUAAAGGGAAGCAGCACACAAGCUAACGAUCCCCCUGAUACUGGAUGAACUGGAUUUAAAUGUAAUUCAUCUCAAAAGGCCAGAGAAGCAAAUUCUUUUGUUGUGCCCUGCUACAUAUAUUCUUCAGAAAAGAAAUACCACCAAGGGGGGGGGAAAAUAAAAAAUAAAAAAAGGAAAAGCACUAUAGGAAGGUUAGGGAUCCGACUUAAACCCAUUCUACAAUGAGAUUCAUCACCUAUAAAGAGAAGCCUCCAUUUCUGUUUCAUCUUUUUUUUCCCCAAAACGUUAUCAAAAUAGUAAAUGUUUCUACGUAGUUCUCCAAUCCUGCAUAGUGCAGCAUGUAAAAGCACUCAUGUUCCACGUUUCGUUUUUUUCAGUAUAAACAGUGUCCACAAUUCUGGAUUGCACUGGUUUAGCAAUUUAAACGAGAAAGUUAAGUUCAUACCUAUGCAAUGUUUAUUUUUUAAUAUGCUUUUUGAUAAUGGUGCACUGGUUUGCACAGGACUUCCACUGGUGAAGUAAAAGACUAGGACUGACAGAACAGCUCUGAGGACAAACCAAACAGCUGAACAUCCUCUCUCAAAGGAGUCUCCAGGAAGCGACUGCAGCCCAGCGAGGGCACAAUCUUUGUAGCAUGCUUUUCGAUUUUCAAAUUAAAGACAUUGUAGAAAAGACAAAUAUUAUUUUGAGAUUUCCUUUCAGUUAAUUAUUUACACAGAUCAGUACUCCGUGUUAGCUCUCACCAUUUAAUCCUUCUCUCUAGUCAGUGCUGUUCUCUAAUAAUAAUCUACUUUUAGGAAUAUUCAACUCAAAAAUUAUUCUUUUACAAAAAACAGGUUGGAAAAUUGAAGAAUUCAAUACUCACACCAAACACAUGUUUAGAUAAAUAAACAUGUGUUAUUCAUAACUGCUUGCUCAAGAUUUUGAGAUGCAAUAAAGAUCUCAAGUUCUUCAGUUUUUGAAUCUUCAGCUUCAGAAAAAACAAGUAAACAAAAUCCCCAAACCUUUGGGGUGACAAUUAACGGUCACCAGCAGCUGACAAACACAAGGGAGGGUUCAACUUUGUGAAUAAUUGAGAAUCCGCCAGAUCAUAAAAUGAAAAGAUGUUUACAACUAACAGUUUUCUGAAUAUGAAUUGACUAAUAAUUUCUUCAAGGAGUACAAGAGCUGUUCAUUGUUUCCAAACAAUUUAUUGCAAAUACUGGAUUUUAAAAUAUGAGUGAUGGUGAUUUAAUUUUUCCUGCUUGAAUGCUUUUUAACUUUGCUCUCUAGAAUAUCGGUUUCAAAUAAUGCAAUCACAAAAAAAAGUCUGAAAUUAAGUAAAUGAAAAAUGGAAGUAAAUAUUUUUAGACUCAGCUUUGUUAGGAACUUCUUUUUAAUAGAACAAAAGUGUUACCCUAGCAUGUUCUACCGCUUGCAAAGCAGAAAUGUGAAGAUGCCCAAACCAGUGAGUGUUUUCUCCCACAUUCCAUGGAAAAAGAUGUAUUUUGACACUUACUGGCUGGGUGGGUGGAUGGCAGUCAGUGGCAAUGCAGUAGUUUGCAAUGACAGUGUCAAGUGAUGACUCUUGCCCUACCUUGCUCCAGGCCAUGUGGCUCUGCAUCCAGAAGCUACAGCUUCUCCCUGAAGCUUGUUGAGGCAGAGCUUGGACAUAAAGAAAAAAACAUUUUUUUGGUCUCUGGAGACUUAUCUAACUCAGCAAAAUGACUUAAUACAGCAUAACUCAGCUCUGACAUGGUGAUCCUUCACCCUGUCUUAGGUCUAUGAUAGUGUGAGUAAUGCAAUAACUCAGUCUGCUAGGGCAUUUGAGAAUAGACUGCAUGUCAUGUACAUGUUUUGUUGUUGAUUUUGGAUUAAGAUAAAUGAUGGAUGGUCCUGUUGUCAACCAAAGUGUUGCAUGGUUUCAAGUAAGUUUCUUACAGAGGUUUAAUUUCACUUUAAAAAAAGAUUUAACUUUAGCUUGGUGAAAUGUAUUUUCUGUAAACUCAUGUUAGUAAGCAUUAAUUCUUAUUCCAAAAUUUAUGAUUAAUCAAUUUCUACAUCAAGCUUGAAAAUCAGUUUUGCCCAGAACUAAUGUCAAGGUGACUGCUUUAUAAUUAUUGGGGUUAUUUCAUUUGCCCUUUCAAAAAACCGGUAUGCCAGGAAAUUUAUUUCCAUCUUCUGCAACUUUCCAAGUAUUUCAAAAUACAAAAUAGUGGUUUGGAUAGUUCCUUGGCCAAUUUUGAUAGAAAUUAUUUGGAUCUUCUGCUUUUUAAAAAUCCACAUUUGAGUUACUGUUGAAAAAGAUAGCAUUUCAUCAAAUCUUAUCUGGCUUUCUCCCCUACUGUGAACCAGACCUAGUGUUGAAUAAUUUGCAUUACAGUGUUGUUAUAAAUAUUUCUAACAGAUUCUUUUAGGACUAUGCAAAAAAAUUUUUAAUAUUCCUAUUUCCCUAAGCAUACUUUACAUUUUAUGUCAUUAUCAUUCUUUCACUCUAAUCUCAAAUUGUAGUCUUAAACUAUGGAGAGGCUCAGUUUCUCAUCUGAUAACUUACCUCAUUUCUCGAUUGCCCAUUUCACCCCUUUUGUCUCUUUCUUUGACCUUCAUUUUUACAUUGACUUCUGCGUUUGCCAGGUCCAACAUCCAGCGUUCAUUCAGGUUAGGGCUGGUGGAUCAAACCUAUGCGUGGUCACUGCCUCGAUUCCUCUCUCCCAUUGCCCCCAUUCGAUAUUUCUCUCUCCUGCUUAUCUGUUUGCCCAUUGCACUUUAGUUUGUUUUACAAUUUUCAUCAGCUCCUGGUCCUUUUAUAUCCACUUUAUCUCAAGAUUUUAAUCAUGUAGGUGGAUUGAAUUACAAGGGAUUUACCAUUUUACUCCUGAAUUAGUACAGCCACAUCAAUGUAAUAUUUUAGUUAACAAGUACUGACUGUAUGCCUUCUGUUGAUUUACCUUACUUUUGCUAAAUUAUUGACACAGUCAGGUCCUCUAACCUAGAAAACAAGGAGUAGGGCAACCAAACAGUAGAGAGCAGACUAGAUGCUAGCAGGCUUUUUUUUCUUUUCUUUUCUUUUUUUUUUUUUUGCCAUGUACUAUACACCAUUUAGGCUUCUGCUGUAUUAUCCUGAUUGUGAGCCUGAUUAGAGCUGACCCAUCUCACCAUUAUUUUGCAACAUUUAGCACUGACUGAUAAUUCAAGUAAGUUAUUACCCCUCAGUAGAGACUAAGGGAAAAAAGGCAAAUAAAAUGUCACUUGCACUAAGCGUUAUUCUAAAACAUUUAGCAAAUGUAAUGAUCCCUAAGGAACAGUUACCUUCUCUCUCAUUUUCAUCAACUAUUUCAGUAAUUCUCCAGCACUGCUCAAGACAAUUAGAUAUCUUAUUGACACUGCAAGCAGAUUUUGCCCUACAGAAGGCAGAAAAAGUCGGUAAGCUACUGAUUCAAAUGAAGAAUUGUUUGAGAAUUACAUGGAUAAAGAGAAGGGUAAUUAAGAACAAGCAUCUCUCCAGCACAUACUUUAAAAUAUCAGUAUUUUAGCAUAGAAUUAUUCAACAAAAUAGAAAUAACUACUCCAUGAAGUUACGAACAGAUGAGGUACCCCUAACUGAUGUUAUCAGCAGUUAAUUAAUAUUGUAAUGGUCCCAUACUCAUAAAGCACAUCAUAACCCUUUCAUUAACCUCAGCCAAGAGAAUUUUUUUCCUUUCUAGAUAGACAUAAGUCUAGCCAUAAAUAUCUAUUUAUGUAUAGGGUAGAGAAAAGUAUAAAGUCAGAAAAAAAUAGCAAAGAAAUUACUUUGUAACACUAAAUCUGAUGGAGGGCUACAAAAAACCUAUUAUUUAUUUUCAGUAUAUGAAAUUGCUGUAUGUGCAAUUGCUUUACUGAAUACCUGUUUCAAAUGAUUUCGUAUAUAAAUAUUUCAAAGUGGGAAUAUUGCUUAGCUGUGUAUAAGGGUUUCCUAUUUUAAAGAUUUUUUUCUUAAUAAAAGUAUACAGGAGUUUUCAGUG